rnacentral:rRNA from 1 species
AUUGAACGCUGGCGGCAGGCCUAACACAUGCAAGUCGAGCGGAUGAGAAGAGCUUGCUCUUCGAUUCAGCGGCGGACGGGUGAGUAAUGCCUAGGAAUCUGCCUGGUAGUGGGGGACAACGUUUCGAAAGGAGCGCUAAUACCGCAUACGUCCUACGGGAGAAAGCAGGGGACCUUCGGGCCUUGCGCUAUCAGAUGAGCCUAGGUCGGAUUAGCUAGUUGGUGAGGUAAAGGCUCACCAAGGCGACGAUCCGUAACUGGUCUGAGAGGAUGAUCAGUCACACUGGAACUGAGACACGGUCCAGACUCAUACGGGAGGCAGCAGUGGGGAAUAUUGGACAAUGGGCGAAAGCCUGAUCCAGCCAUGCCGCGUGUGUGAAGAAGGUCUUCGGAUUGUAAAGCACUUUAAGUUGGGAGGAAGGGCAGUAAGUUAAUACCUUGCUGUUUUGACGUUACCGACAGAAUAAGCACCGGCUAACUCUGUGCCAGCCGCCGCGGUAACAC